UCUGCAGGCCUCGCACACAGUCUUCCUGGCGAGGCUGCUGGCAGUUGCCUGCUGUUUGGAAGUCUGACAAACAAGGUUGUCAGAACAGAUCUGAAGGAAGCUGCCAUGGUGGGAAUUGUAUUUUUUUCCCCAAAGAUGAUUUCGUGCUUGUCGGACCCAUCACGCCCCGAAAACGCUUUCGCUGUCCAACGAGUAUUGGCACAGCGUUAGCCCUGCUUCGUCCCUCUUGCCUCCAAGAUGAAAAGGACUAAGGUAGCCCGACCUGGAAAACAGCCCCUGCUUCCUGCCGGCACCGACCUGGACCAGCCUUUGCUGCCCGAGGCCUCCCCAGCGGCACCCAGCAGGCCCGCCUGCACCCCUCACACUGCCCACUGUGUGCCAGGUGCAUGCUCUCCCUGAGCAGCACGGUCAGGAGCCCGUGGUGGUUUGACGGCGGUGGCGGUGCCAGGACGAUUCGGACGCCCACCCCAGUGUUGAUGCUUUGAUGCCAGGUGGAUCUUCUGUCUAUGCCGGGGUAAGACCCUUGCACCAUUGGGCUCCCACUGUUGACAGCCCUGACAACUUCAAGAUGAUGGUCUUCUGUAGAACACGGCAUCACAAGACCAAUGAGAAGGCUCUGAUGGCCACAGUCUCUUCAUGGUCACGGCAGUCACAGCUCCCAUGGCUCCUGACACGUGGGCUCGAUCGCGGCACUUUUGAGAAACAGAGGCCUGUGCCCACACCUGGAACCCACUGGUUCAUGGAGAGCGAGAGGAGGCGGUGGGAGCCUGGCUUGAAGCAGCUCAGGAGGGCGGUAGGAGCAGGAGCAACUGGCCUGGGAAGGUGGAUGGUGUCGAUGGCUCGGCUUUGACUCCUGGGUUUGCCACUUACUGCUCCUGUGACCUUGGCAAGAUACUUUGCUUCCUGGCCCUUCUGUCCCGUUACUUUUGGAAGGAGGAUGCGUGCCUCACCAGGUGGAGAGAUGGGAGCACUCCACAUGUAUGAAAGGCCUUGGUGCAGUACCUGGCAGAGAGCUGGUGCACGAUAAAUACCAGAGGCCAUUCCAGAGGGAACCUGCUGGAGGGAAGCGGAAGCCACAGGGAUUCCUGCAGAGCUAUUUGGGAGGAGACCCUGAGCCCUAAGGGAAUGUGACCCCCAGCUGGUUGGAUCUAAUGUACAUACCUUGCGGUGACAUACGUAUCCUCCCACUAAAUCCUCCCCAGGACUCCCGAGGGAUGCUGGCUCCCAGAUGGCUCUCGGGGUCCAGACCCGAAGUGGACUCCCCACUUACGGAGCACAGGCAGUUCUGGUGAAACCCAAGGUGACCGACGCUGUGUUCUGCCCGUCCCCCAUGGCCCGCUGGUGUCGGUGUGUGUGGACAGCUUCCUGCCACAGCACCUGCUGCUUUGCUGGGUGGUUUUCCUGGCCACAGGAGAGUGGCCGGCUCAGGUAUGGGAGAGACUGGAAGUUCCAGGAAUUUGGGAAUGGUCUGUGGGAAGAGCUUUCAACCAAGGAUGGAUGAGAGCCACUGGCUGGAGCUCCAGACUCCUCACCCACUGCUGGGACACCCUGCACUGCCUCUUAGAGGCCCCCAGUGGACUGAGCGGUAAGCAGAACGUCAAUACACUUAUUUCCUGAUGCUCUUCACCCCACUUACCCCACUGUGGGUGCUGCUCCCUGGACUCACUUCCCAAACUGUUUAUAACCAAAUCCUUGUCUCAGGGUCUGCUUCUGGGAGACAGAGCUACAGCGUCCCUCAGACGUCCUUCUUCUCAACCCCGCGGCCUGCGCACACUUGACCAUAGAUUGAGCAUAGCUUUGAGAGUACCAGGAGGUGGCUUCCUUUCUCUUGGUUGGCCUGUUCUCUGUAGCGCAGGCCUCUGGGGUUUGUGGGUCUAGAGAAAAUUAGUCUACCAAGCUUAUUCUGCUGCCUGAGCAAGGCUUAAGCAAACUCAUUUCACUGGCUGCUCAGCAGGUUCCCUGAUGAACUCCUGGAGAUCUCCAAGGAUGGAUGAGUUUGGAGAAGACUUGACCUUCCCCGUGUCUGGACACAGAGUGGCUCAGUCGAAUGCCAGUGCUCCACGGUGCUGGCUUCGCAGUCCCCCAGGACAAUGCUGUUCCAAAGACUGCAUGGAGUUUGUCAUCAUCUUAAGAUCAACUUUGCACGGUGGUUUUUUGGCACAGCAUCUGCCACGUGGGAGCACUUACAUCCCGUAUCACAGUGCUGUUUCGAGUCCUGGCUACGCUGCUUCUGAUCCAGCUUCCUGCUACUAUGCCUGGGAGGCAGCAAAUGAUGGAUCAAGUGCUUGGGUCCCUGCCACCUGUGUGGGGGACCUGCAUGGGAUGCAGUUCCAGCCUCCUGGCCUAGCCUCUAGUCAGUCUCUCUCUAUCUCUCCCCUUCUCUGUCACUAUGCCUUCCAAAUAACUAAAUAAAUCUUACAAAAAAAAGGAUGAACUUCUUAACCUACCAGAACUCAUGGAACCAACUGCCCUGGGCCUUCUGUCGCCCUUCAGUGGGAUUUAGGGUGGUCCAUGACUCCUCAGGUCAAGGCCUGACUCUGCCCCUGUGACCUGGUUUCUGGUUUCCCAACUCCUACUUCGACUGCCUCGUCUCUACUUUCAUCCAGAUGUCUACAGUGUCUCAAACAAUAUGCUCAGGCUGAAAUGCAUGCUCCUGUGGUCUCCCAUCUGCUGGUUCACUCUUCAAACGCCCAGGAGCAGGGAACUCAGCCCAGGCCUCCCGUGUGGGUGCAGGGACCCAACUCCUUGAGUGGUCACCUGCUGCAUCAGCAGGAAGCCAGAGACAGGAGCAGAGCUGGGGGACUGGAACCCGAGCGCUUUCAUACGGAAUGCAUCUUCAGCGCUGUGCCAGCUGUCCACCCCUCAAUUGCCCGUGACCUUUUUAAAGGAGCCUUGCACCGUCUCCUUUGCAUGGAGCAUUCUCCCCCUAAGAGGCUCCUUGAUCUCCUUCAGUCCUCACCCAGAUGUCCUCUACCCAGGUGCUCUCUCUCUCUCCCCCUUCUCCCUCCUACCCCAGCUCCUCUUUUUACCCCAUGUUCCUUUACUGCACUUGGUCGUCUUGGCGAUUGCGGACUAAAAUGUAAGCUCCCGGAGGGCAGGCACCACUCUUGCCCACUGUUCCGUCCCUGCCAUUGGAACAAGGCAUGGCAAAGGGAGGAGCGUGGUAGGGCUUUGUGGGAGCGGUGAAUGGAUAAAUACGAGAGAAGCAAACAGGGACCCUCACUAACCCUUCUUCUCUGGGCCUCAGGCUCAGGGAGAGAGCUGCCCAAGGUGGUUUCUUGGCCCCUGCUCUGGCUC